GAGCACAAGUAUCACAGCAGAAUUACUGAAAUGAAAUCUACAAAAAAUGCUCUGCCCUUUGGCAAAGAAUGCUAACUUGUUCAUUACCCAGUGAGUACAGCUAAAAGAAGAGUGUCCUCUGAAAGCUUCAUUGUCCUUUCCAUGCUCCACUGAUACUCAAUAGAGUCAUUGCUGCUGAUUCCAGGGAAAAAUAUUUCUAUUGAUGGGAGGGGGGAAAGUAAUUUCAACAGGCAUUUCUGGUGCAGACUCCUCUCAGUGGAUCUCUAAUAUAGGAAACAGUCUGAUGUUUUCUCUUCAUGUAGAAGAGGAAGGGUUGAACUGAGGUGUUUUGUGUCUGCUCUGCAUGUGUGCCACAGAAACCUCAGACAAUGCAGUUGACACAUGCUACAAUCAGAGUUGAAGUAAAAGAGCCAAAAAGUCCUCUCUUUCAAAACUCCUCUAAGUGUUAGUGUGACUAUGUAAGCAAUACUUCAUAUACUUUUCUUCUCAAGGGAUCAAAAAUCUGAAGGUACGAGAUCUCCAGUCCCACAGCUUAUGUUGGAGGGGUAACUUAAUCCUUAAUCAGAUUUUAAAAUACAAACAUUUCAUUAAACUAAUGUUUUGCUGAAGAAGACUUGUGGGGUAUCUUAUCAGUGUGUAGAUACCUGACAGAAGGGAAUGAAUACAAGGGAGCCAGACUCUUUUCCGUAGUGCCCACUAACAAAAAAAGACCAACGGGAACCAACAGAAAUGCAUGAGAUGUUGUGAACACAAGAAAACAUUUUUUUGCUGUGAGGGUGGUCGAAAACCAAUGUAAGUUUCUCAGAGAGGUUGUGGAACCCAACUGGAUGCAGGCUUGGACAACCUGAAGGAGCUGACUCAUCUUGAGUAGGAUGGUUGGACUUGAUGUUCUCAAGUGGUACCUUCCAAGCUCAAGCGUUCUGUGACAGGUGAGGGGUUUUUGGGGGUGUUUUUGUUUGUUUGUUUUAAAUCAUCACCUUCCCAAGCCGUGGUCCAGCUUUUUACUUAAAGAACAGAAUUAAUGGGAUUGAGAUGAAAACACCCACCAGUGACUAGGAUUUAAGUUGACAGCAUUUUGCAUGCCAUAUCAUCUGUCUCGGUCCUGCCAAACCAUGGAAAUGUCCACUGGCAAGACUAUCCCUUCAGCAGUCAUUUUCAAUAGCAUGCCAGAAAUAGACCUUAACUGUCAACUCAAGAUGUCUGGUUUAUGAUGCUUCAUAUAUUAUAACACUGUAAUUGCAAUAAAUUCUGCAAGCAUUAAGCCUUUUUAGGCUUUCUGAGAGAGGAGAAUCAUUCUUUAUUUCCAUUUUAUACAGGGACAGAAAAGAGUCAAGUAGCUUGCCUGUCACUGCGGAUGAACAUCGGUUUUGAGUGGGACUUCCCACCUCUUAACCUGAUCUAGGCUUUUGAAAUGGUAAAGGUCUCCGGAAAUCUGUAGCUGAAUGGAGCAUCUGCAGAUAAAGCAAAUUUGAGAAGAAAGGAAAAAGACAUCCCAGGAGUAAGGUCCCCAUAACCAGCUGUUGAUUGUGUUAAAAGAGAAUUGGGAGAACACCACAUUUGCCUCUGCACUGUGAUCUUGUCAACCUGUCUGAGUGAUGCAAGGGUGGGAGCUGGUAGUGCCCCUUUCCACAAAUCUGUUUUCAUCAAGUCUAUUCACAGCCUUUAAUUCUAAAGCUGAACCCUCAUGGUCCUGCCCUUUCUAUAUCAGCCUGUUGUAUGGGGAUGUGGUUAAUCCCCAAGCCCUUGACCUUUAGUGAUUUGUACUGCUGUCAAGACACAUUACACAGCUUUCCAAGCUGCCCUGCACUACAGAAGAAAAUGUCCACAGUAGGGUUCUUUUGUUUAAACUACCAUGCAACAGUUGUCAGUUUUAUCAGGCAAACAUUUUUAAAUUUUCCUUCUGGGGAAAGAAGCUCCCCCGUCCCUUCUCCAGAAGAGUUUCAGUAUGAAAAUCAGAGCUGAGAAGCUAGAGUAGGUGUAGAAGAGCUGCCUGAAAUUUGCAAACCAGUGAAGAUUAUGCUAUUCCUGCUGGGAAUGAAGCUGAGAGGAAGAUGGGAGUUUAGUAUUAAUACCUAGGAAGAGGAUGGAUUGAUUUUUGAAAGAAAAAACAUAAUUUUUGAAUCAUCCCAUAGCUUUGACAAAAAACGGGUUGCUGGGGUCUAGGAGCACCUGUAAGGCACUCAGGGACCUCAGCUCUACUCUUCUUGGGUUUUGGUGAAUAAUAAGUCUGCAGAAAGGUGUAGCAACUAGAUGGUGUUCUCCUUGUAUCCACAGAUAGAAACACAGUGGAUGUAGUAUGUACACAGUUUCCCAACCGCGAUGUUCCUUCAUUCAGAGAUGUAACCUUAGGGUAGCAGGAACAAUUUAUUUUCUCUGCCACUCCAUUUCUUGUCUUUUUGAGGAUUUCAGCAUGUGCCUCAGCUGGACUAAUCAGAGUGUUGAAAUGGACUAAAAUUAGCAACUCAUUUCACAACCAUCAGUGGUGACUUUCAGCUGUCAGCCUAAGCUGCAUUUUGAUAUGAAGCUGAUGAAAGAGAAACGACUUGGGUGUAUUAGCGAUUCCCAUUAAAAAAGAAGGUUAAAGAAAGAGUUUGCUUCCAAGAUUUACCAUGUUCUAUGUAAUAACGCCAUUCUCAUGCCAAAGAGAGCUUUAAUACUGCAUUUUCUAGCUGUUACCUUUAAGAAUCAAUUUCUCACAUCAGUUUGUCAAUAGGACUAUCUGCCUUGCAUGGUAAAGGAAAGAUUAACAUCAGAUAGUUUAAGAGCAAACUCAGGAAAGAGAUCUUUGGGUCACAGUGGGUAUUUCUCUGAAAACUGCAGUUCAGUAGCUGUCAAAAAUACACAGAUAUUUGUAGAGAAGGACCUAGAUAAAAAACACUAAUACACCAUUGCAUGAAUCCAUAGGUUUCUGGCAGCUAGAGUAGCAUCUGCUUGCAGCUGUGGUCAUGCAACUCAGCAAGGGGAAGUGGCAAACAAUUAUAACAAGGGUAACGGGGGUGAUCACACACGGGGAACAACUCUCUGCAUGGUGAAUCAAACAGCCUCCAGUUCUUUGUUAUAAAUGAGAAAUGACUGAGGUGGAGUUGAUAGAUUUGAUAUUAUCACAGAUGUUCUGGAGAAAGUGAGUGGGAAAUGAUUAUUCACUAGUCCUAGCAAUACAAGUUAGCUAAUGAUGUUAUCCAUUGGCAGAUAUAAACCGAACAAAGUUAAGCAUAUUUUCCCCACACAAUCCAUCCCCUCAGUAUAGUUCUGAUGUUAAAACUGUGAAACUCAUUGCUAUGAACUGUUGUGGAGGGCAAAAGUUCUGAAAGUGAUUAGACAACUUCAGGAAGGGUACGUCUGUUGGAGCCUAUCAGAUGUCAAACCUGGCAGCAGCCUCCAGCUCAGAGAGUUCCCAAACUGCACAUCACCGAAGCUGGGAGGUUGCUGCCACAGAGGGAUUGCUCUGUACACACCUUGCUUUGCUCUUUCCUCUCCCGACAACUGCUAGAGACUGUAAGGGCUAGAUGGUAGACAGACCUAUAGUCAGACGCUAUCUGUAGUUAUCUACUUGAAUUAUCACCAACAGCACUAAACAUGUCAAUAGACGUUACAGUCCUGAUAGCUUGGAUAGAAAUUCGUGGCAAUAACAGCAAAAAGUCUUCAGAGAAACAUGCCCAUGAUCUCCACUUUGCUCUUGUAACAAAGGUCUUGCUACGACUUCUGCACAGUGCCACAGCUGAACCACAUGUUCAUGUUCCACUGCAAUUUCUCGAUACACUGAUGUGUUUUGUAAUUGUACUGCAGGGGUUUCUAAUCAGUGAAAAGACAGUUUUUCUGGAUUCUCUAUUGCUGCUGGCCUACCCAGCAACAGAGAUUUUUAGAGUCUCCACAUUCCUAAAAUCACACCUCCCUUUAUUGCCUUUUGUAACAGUUGAGACCUCUCCCAGUCCCCUGCCUUCCCCAGUUUCACUCAUGCCAAAUAAAUCGGGCUUUCAGAAAGAAAAGACCUGCUUGACAAAGGGAAAAGUAUGACAAAGGGAAAGACAGGCAAGAAAAGGUAGAAGAGUAAGGCAAAGGGCAGAUAAAACUUUCCUGGGGAUCCCAAGAUAAAUUCUGUGUCCCUCUGCAGGGAGAGAAGGAAGCAGAAGGCCAUGGGGCUCAUGGCAGCAAGAAGGGAAACGUGAUGAAAACCAGGCUGAACCAGGCUAGUAGGAUCAAAGCUCAGGGUCCUUUUUGAGGAGCUGCAGCUGUACCUCAGACUUCCACAUCAUGACCAUGCUCCCAAACAUUUUUCCUGGUCCUCACAGAAGGGCAGGUUUGCCAAGCUCGGCAGGAGCUGAAGGCCUGAAGGGAGCAGCUGCCUCUGAGAGAUCUGGCUCCCAGCAUUGGUCAGACCCUGGGUUUGGCAGGGGCCACCCUGCCCCUCAGGGGAGGUUUUUCUUACUCCCAGGGCCUCAGUUUCUAAACCGAGCUCAGCCCCAAGAAGGCAAUGACUUAAGAAGGCCUGGCCUGUGGCUGUGAGACAGUGACCAAUCUGUGACCCAGCAGCAGCACAGAUUAGGGAAGCUGGAUCCUGCCCAGUGGUUUAGGAGCACAGAAGAUCCUACUGAGCACUCAGCUGGAUUUGCUGUAACCCUGCUCUGCUGCCGGUGAGCUGAGCAUGGUAACCUGCAGUGCAGGGGAUGCUGGCUGCCAGCAGUAUGGGAUACCUGAGCUCAUGGAUGGGUAGUACAUUGAUGGAGUGAGAAACCAACCCAGCUAAGUCACAGGCUGGUGCUGGGCUCUUGCAGGCGUUCCCAAUGGAUCUGCCAUGCUCCAGAGCAGCACCACAGUUGUAUUCAAAAUCAAACUUGGUGUACAGUCACACUUCAAAGGUAUGUGGGUGUACAUACCCCAAGAGCUUCAGGAAUACCGUGUUGCUGAGUGUGCAGAGUUACUUGGGUUUGCAAAAUGGUAUCAAUUGACAGAGCGAAUUAUUAAUGCAACAGACACUGGCAGAGGCAGAGAGGUUUGGAAAGCUCAUCAGAAUAUUUACCCACCCAGCUCUAGUCACGUUGCCUCCUUGUGCCUCACAUCCAUGUUUCCAAGCUAAUUUGUAAUCCAUUGCAAUAGCUCUCAGUCUCUCCUAUGCUUUGAGUUUGCAAAUCAGUCUGCCUGUCUAGAGCCGUAUCAAAUGUUUUCAACCAGCUCCACUCUUUCAGCCCUGUCAGCCACGCUGACUAGAUGAGUAGGUUCAGGAAUCAGGCAGCACUAGCAGACGUGACCUUCUGUGAAUCAGCUGCAGACAAGCUUCGUCUAAUGGGACUAGAGACACUCUCCAGCAAAGCUCGCCAUGGUAAUUUAAGACUUUGCUGUCUGCAGCUCCCUCUUUUUUAGGACUUGCUGUUUCAUAGUGGAAGAGAAGUAGUCACUCCUGCCUUAACUGACUUGCUCUGCAUUCCCCCACCAACUUCAGCCAGCCCGGAGAGCCGCAGUGGUCCCACUGACACAGGGACACUUCUGCUGCCUCUGCCACAGGGCAGGUGCUUUGUCUGCCACAAUGGGAUCUCCCUUCAGCUGCCUGUGUUCAUCAGGAAUAUUCAGUUGUGGUCUUUGCUGAGAACUAGGUUAGUUUUUUGUUGUUUUUCAUAAUAAUUAACUCAACUGAGACAAGAUACUUUUGAUUUGCUUUGGGAGCUGAAAUAGACAAUGUCAACUCUAGAAACAGCUGCUGGCUGCAGCUGAUUUUUAUUUUUCCCCUGAAAUAUGUAGAGUAAGGUAAAGCAGCACAUUUAGUAAAUUAAUCUCAAUUUUACUAAAUUUCUUCAGUGGGAAGGAACCCUGAAAAAGCCUUUUAAAACAUAAAAUUAUUUUGUUGAGAUGCUUUCAAAUAUUCUUUUCAUUUGAAGCAAUACUUUAUUUAGAAAUUUUCCUUGCUGUUUUGAAGGCUCAAACAAAACAUUCUGGGUCAUUUUUAUGUUCCUUUGAAUAGACAAAAAAAAUUCCCCACAUUUUGGUUUGCACAAAAUGUCUGUGUUAUUUCACUGUAGUUGACCUCAAUUCCCAACAUAGAUCCAAUUUUAUUAAUUUUUUUUAACAUGAAAGAACCAAAACAUCAGCUAUUAGCACAUCUCAGAGUGCAUCUUGCCUGUUUAUCUCACAGCAGAAAAGAUGUUUUUGCUUCAUUACAUCCUAUUUUAUUCAGAUAGAGUCUUCUUGUGCUGCCCUGACAAUUCCUCUGCCUCUUCCUGGCUGUCCUCACCUCUCCAGGACUUUCUGUUCUGUCCUUCUGCUCUAUGUAGGUCACUACUGCAUUUCCCUGGAGUCUCCCCUUGUCGUUUCUGAAAUGAGACGCUUCAUUAGCCACUCUCCAGUCUUUUGGCAUUGCUGACUUCUGCAGUCAGCUUGCAGACACCUCUGCUAGUGGCUGUCUUCCUCCUCUCGCUGUUUGCCCUGCAGAGACAGUACCAAACGCAUCCAUGAGUCAGAAACUCCAGGGAAUGCCCAUUAGUGUGUGCUGGGUUUCUCCUGCAUGUGUUUCACACUCUGAAUCUUGCGGAACCUGACUAUUUUUCUUUUGUAUUUAGAUGCUUGGCAUAGCUAAUAUUUGAGGAGGACGGAUGUAAGGUUUUAACAUUUUUUCAAGAUCCUUUAAAUUGCUGUCUUCCGGAUAGAGGAAGGAGAUUUUCAAAUAAGAAGCAGAUCUAUGAUUUCAGCUCAAAUGGCUCUUAUUUUACCCUAAGAAAAAUAAAACUAAAUGAAGAGGAAGAGAAUUAUUUAUAUGAGUCUAUGCGGCUCCCCGCCCCCUUCAACAGGAGCACCGAAUCUGAACAAGGCAUGGCGAUUGUCUUCUGCUGGGAAGAGACAUUUCAAAGGUAGGAAACAGGGAGAACAAAGCGUGCAUGUUCCAGAGCUCUGCACACAAUCACCAACAAAUAAGCCUGGCAGCGCCUUCUUUUUCUGUAGGAGUGUGCUCCAUACAGCUAAUCCCCUCGUCCUGAGUUGCCAUCUGGAGUAUGCCAGGAGCUGGUCUGUGUAACUGAGGUGUUGCAAGCCUGCGACAAGGCGGGCAGCGUACCGAGGGCCUGCCAGCAGCCAUGGGCUGUUCUUGCUCAGUCACACUUGUAGCCUAAUACACAAAAUGUACUCGGUGAAGGGCAACCGCCUCUUGUGAGAGGUCUUCUGGAAAUCAGAGCCUGCAUUGUAUCUGCAGUGUUUCCCCUCGACAGCCCGGGAGCUGUAUGGCCCUCAGUAUGCUGCCUGAAGUGCCACUGGCACCCUGCGUCAGGGAGACUCCAGAGAGUUGGAGAAAUAGCAACAGCCAGCCAGCAAAAACUGCUGAGGUCCAGUGAGAGGAUCGUUGGCUCCCACUGUGCUAGAAAUGGCUGGUCUCUGGUAUGAACGCCGAGAAAAGGCUGUGUGGUGGCCAGGGGCUGGCGAUUGCCCUGUCACCCCACCCUGAAGCCAUCCACAGUGCACAUUGCUCCUCAUCACACCCAGUCUCUGUCGACCACUCAUCCCAGCCAGCAGCAUCCUGGCAUCCCCAGUCACCCUACAUGCUGGCACAGGGCAGUUGGCAGAGCCCCAGCAGCUCAGGUGGAGACCCCCUGGGUGUCUCCCCACGUCUGCUGAGCCCCAGGGUUUGUGCCUCUCCCCUGGCCUGGCACUGGGGGACGCACACUGCCCCACACGCCUAAGCAGCCACAAGUCUCUUGGUGGAGGGACAGGGUCCCUGUGGGCUUUUUACAGCUACUGCUGGAUGAUAUGGUUUUUGUUUCGCCUGUCCUUUCCUAGCUUCAUCAGUAUCCUAAUUGUGCUCAGCUCACUUUAUGACAUGUAGGCAACUACAAGUUUCCAGAAUCCUGGCAAAGCUUUCUAUUGGAAAAGAGCAAAAAUGGCUCAAAAAGCACAGCGAAGCCCUGAUGGCUGUAACUGCAGGACUAUUUAUCUCCUGGUUUUUAGGCCUGCACUCUGUACUGGGCUGGCAGAGCAGCAACAUCUCUUGGCAGUGGCGUCGCUUUUCCACCCAGCGAUCUCAAAGAUGUCUGCUGAGAGUGGUGGACUCUGGCUAAUCACACUUCAGGGACACAGAGAAGGAGAAAUGGAGAUGUGACAUGAUCUCCUGCCUGCCCUGCCUUCCUCCUGUCUCUCCUGACAGCUACAAUAUCUUGCCACCUUGAGACUAGGGCCCUCGUGUCACACACGCAGUAGUAGAUCCAUUAAUCUUCCUGUUUUUCCCCCAGGAGCUGCAGUGUUUGUUCAGGAGGGGAUGCAUUUGCAUAGAAAGACAAGUGCUGCCCAUGGGCAGCAGCCACCCUUUGUCUGCCUCUCUCUGGAGGGCUCUCCCAGCAGGGCGGCAGCAGCAGCCCUCUGCUUGAGGUUUAUCACUGGUAAAACAGCACACAGGUCACCUGCUGCUCCAGAAGCAAAUCGCUGGGCCCCGUUGUUGAUAUUAACCUCAAUAAUGAAAGGUGCAACUUCUGUUUGUAAAAAAAAAGAGAAAAAGGGCAAAGGUUUGGGUCAUGUGUCCCACUGCCCCUCCCUCCAAUGGCUUUGAUCCAUUUUGGGCUUUGGUUCAAAAGCUCAUUAAAAGGAAAGUACAGCCAAGUAUUACUCUGAAAGAGAGGGAAAAAACGGCUCAUCCAUCACGAGAAAGACAAACAGUGUCAGAUACUGGUUGCUAAUUUGCUCUCCCCAGGGAGAUCUGCUUCUUUUUAACCAGAAGUGUUUUGCCACAGACGAAUGUCAAGUCAGACUGACUCUUUCUUACCCUGGGCUUCUCCCUUGACUGGCACAACUCCAGGGCAUGCAUCUCCCACACCUGUUGACCUCCUCUGAGGUGCUGGAUGGGCAUUGCUUGCGGAAGACAACUCACCAAUAUACAACAUAUGGUCUAAGCACUAAGGAGUCACAAUCUGAAAGUAGCCUCAGCCCAUGAAAUGACAUGGGGGGAAAAAAGAAGAGGCAAAAAUGAAGAGCUCCCCCAAGUUUAAGUCUUCUGCCAUUUGGAGAUUCUCACUGGAGCAUGCUGAGCCUGUCUCACAGCAAGGACCCUCCAUGCAUUUGAGUUGAUGAAUUUGUGCUGAAACAUGUCCCUCUAAUGGAAGUAUGACUUUGCACAAGAAAUCAUUGAUUAACUCCUUCUGUGGAAGGCAUAUACCAGUAACAGCUGCAUGUUUACUCAUUGAAACACUCCAGAGAUUUUCCAGAGCUACAGUUCGGGCACCUCAGUGCUCCCUGCGUAUCAGCACAAUCCCGGUGCGCAGUGACAGCUCAGUGUUGACAUCCAGCCACUUCACUUGGGAAUCAGAAGAAUCACAGAGCCAGACUGCGAGAAAACUCCAAGGGAAACCUAAUGCUUUAGUACACACCAAGGGUACAGUUGCCCUGUUGGUCAGCCUCAACUGGUUUUACUGGGCAUAGCAGCCUCCAUAUUUUGGGGACAUGAAGCUGCCAGUGGAGCUAGAACACCACCACCUUCCAUACAGGAAGGAGAAGUCUGUAGGCUUACAAAAUUAAUGGUGAGUUUAUACUGUUGACAAGAUGAUGACUUUGAUAACUGGGAUGUGAUAUCAUGUGUUGGGCAUGGCCAACUCAUCAACAACGGAGAUGUAGCUCAGAACAACUUGUACUCCAGCUCUGUGUCCUCCCCAGUCACUUCCAUACUCAGUCUUGCCCUUGCAUUUUAUAGUUGUGAAAGUCAUUGUAUUUCUUUUUCUGAAGCGUCUCAAAGACUCACUUUUAACCAAAUUGACAUCUGUCUUCUGCAACUGGUCAACUCUAUACUCUUCUACCAGCAAGUGCUUGCCACUAUUUCCAUGCUUUCAUUUCCACUGCUAAUUUUACCUUUGCCAUCCAUGCUGAAUAUCACAUGCCUGCUAAAGACUGAGGAAAAAAAAUUUAAUACAGUUAUGGAUUUUUUAUAAAUUGUUAUUCAUCACU